rnacentral:rRNA from 1 species
GCGCAGCAGGCGAGAAAACUUCACACUGUGCGAAAGCACGAUGAGGGAAUCCCAAGUGCUUGCACGUAAGUGUAAGCUGUUUCUCUGUCUAAAACGCAGAGAGAGUAAGGGCUGGGUAAGACGGGUGCCAGCCGCCGCGGUAAUACCUGCAGCUCAAGUGGUGACCGUUAUUAUUGGGCCUAAAACGUCCGUAGCCGGUUUAAUAAAUGCCUGGGUAAAUUGUGUAGCUUAACUAUACGAAUUCCGGGUAGACUGUUAAACUUGAGACCGGGAGAAGUUAGAGGUACUCCUGGGGUAGAGGUGAAAAGUUCUGUAAUCCUAGGGGGACCACCAGUGGCGAAGGCGCCUAACUAGAACGGGUCUGACGGUGAGGGACGAAGCCCUGGGGCGCAAACGGGAUUAGAUACCCGGUAGU